UCAUUUUACUUUUUUCGCAUUUAUUUACAUUUAUUUUUAUUUUUAUUUUAUUUUGCAUUGAGACUAAGAUUUGAAUGGUUUGCAUUUUCAGGAUCACUUUCCUAACUUUUACAGGAUGUAGGGUUUUGAUGACAUGCAUGUUGCCUAUAGAGACAAUGCUCAGAGGGAGCGCUACAUUGCUUUGUAUCAGCGCCCUAUGGCACCCACAAGUUACCCUGAUCAGCACUGUAUGGAGGCACUGGGUAUCGAGUUGAG
rnacentral:lncRNA from 1 species